UACGAAGGGUGCAAGCGUUAUCCGGAUUCAUUGGGUUUAAAGGGUGCGUAGGCGGGGCGUUAAGUCAGUGGUGAAAUCUUGCAGCUCAACUGUAAACUUGCCAUUGAUACUGACGCUCUUGAGUGCGCUUGAAGUAGGCGGAAUGUGUCGUGUAGCGGUGAAAUGCUUAGAUAUGACACAGAACACCGAUUGCGAAGGCAGCUUACUAAGGCGAUACUGACGCUGAGGCACGAAAGCGUGGGGAUCAAAC
rnacentral:rRNA from 1 species